rnacentral:rRNA from 1 species
GAUGAACGCUGGCGGCGUGCUUAACACAUGCAAGUCGAGCGAACAGACGAGGAUCUUGCUCCUCUCACGUUAGCGGCGGACGGGUGAGUAACACGUGGAUAACCCACCUAUAAGACUGGGAUAACUUCGGGAAACGGGAGCUAAUACCGGAUAAUCUAUUGAACCGCAUGGGUCAAUAGUGAAUGACGGUUUUGGUGUCACUUAUCGAUGGAUCCGCGCCUCAUUGGCGAGUUGGUAAGGUAACGGCUUACCACGGCGGCGAUGCGUAGCCGACCUGUGGGCGUGAUCGGCGCCACUGGGGGUGAGCCGCGGUCCAGGGUCCUAGGGGAGGCACCAGUAGGGAAGGGUCCGCAAUGGGGGGAAUCCUGACGGAGCGGCGCCAGGCGAGUGAUGAAAGUCUUCGGGUCGUAAGACUGUCUUCUUGGGGAAGAACAAAUGUGUACGUAACUAUGCACGUCUUGACGGUACCUGGUCAAGAAGCACCGGCUAACUACGUG